GAUGAACGCUGGCGGCGUGCCUAAUACAUGCAAGUCGAGCGAAUGGAUUAAGCGCUUGCUCUUAUGAAGUUAGCGGCGGACGGGUGAGUAACACGUGGGUAACCUGCCCAUAAGACUGGGAUAACUCCGGGAAACCGGGGCUAAUACCGGAUAACAUUUUGAGCCGCAUGGUUCGAAAUUGAAAGGCGGCUUCGGCUGUCACUUAUGGAUGGACCCGCGUCGCAUUAGCUAGUUGGUGAGGUAACGGCUCACCAAGGCAACGAUGCGUAGCCGACCUGAGAGGGUGAUCGGCCACACUGGGACUGAGAAACGGCCCAGACUCCUACGGGAGGCAGCAGUAGGGAAUCUUCCGCAAUGGACGAAAGUCUGACGGAGCAACGCCGCGUGAGUGAUGAAGGCUUUCGGGUCGCAAAACUCUGUUGUUAGGGAAGAACAAGUGCUAGUUGAAUAAGCUGGCACCUUGACGGUACCUAACCAGAAAGCCACGGCUAACUACGUGCCAGCCGCCGCGGUAA
rnacentral:rRNA from 1 species